ensembl:lncRNA
UUACAAUACAGUAUGUAUUGACUGACUGGUUGAUAUCUGCAUGGCAGGGUUGGGGGAGUUCGGUGGGAAGGGCACGAUGGGAAUCUACAGAUGGAAGCCGUGGUCACAAUGAAUAACAGUGAGACUGUUCCCUAAAGUCACAGAGCAAAAUCAUCCAAGGCUCUGUGCCACCGUCUCAGCCCUGACGCCCCAGUGGUGAGAAACUCCGAGUUGCUUAAGGGAGGCAUUUACUUUCCCUUCCUCCUCCAGGAUAGAACUGCACUUCAUCAACUUAGCGGAAAGCAGCUGACAGUGGACUUCACACCUAACUCGAAUAAGGAAUUGCUAUGAAAAGUGACCCAGCGAGGAUAACUGCCCUGCGCGGUUCGAUGAGGUCACGGCAGGCAGGAGGGUAAGGACUCCAAGAACCGCAGCAGCAGCAUCGGGGGCCCAGGACCCGGACCCGGACCGGGAUGCGCCCCGGAAGCCAGCGGCUCCUGGCGGUAGCGAGGAGUGGUUAAGUGCAGCUGAGUUGUUCCUUGGGAGAUAUAUUCAACAACUGCAGUGUUCUUGGUGAUGUUUUAAAAAGAAAUGGGAUGAACAGAGUUCCCAGUGGAGCUGAGGGAGGAGCUGGAUUUGCCCUGGAAUGCUAUCCACCAGGACAAUUCCCAUAAUCUAGAGUGUACCAUACAGGAAGCAUGGCUGAGUCACAGACAUGGCCAUCAGCAAUCUCCAGGACUCAUUCGAAGACUUGGGGAUCUUCCUGACCCAGGGAUCAGAUCCACAUCUGCACUGGCAGCGGAUUCUUCACUGCUGAGUCACCAGGGAACACUUACCCAGCUACUGGCAAUCAAUCUGCUCCAGAAACCAUUAUAUACAUUUACAAUGGUAUUUUAAACCCAAAUCUGUUGAUCAGCCAAGCUACUUUCAAGAGUUUUCUUUCAUUAAAUCUCCUAGAAGGACAUCUUCAUCGCAUGUGUUAAAGAUGUUACAUUAUUCUGUUUUUCCAAAAUAAAAGGAAACCCUCCAAA